rnacentral:lncRNA from 1 species
AUAAAACAAACUGUAUUAUAUUAAUACUUCAAUAAUUAUUCAAGAGACAUACGGAUUGUUUAUAAAUUUCAACAUAUGAUGAUAAUACAAUCCACAUCCAGAAAUACUCAACAAAUUAAGCAAUAUGAUACAGACCAUAAAUAUAAUCCUCACACAUAUAAUAUAAUCAUUAAUUACAUGAUCAUCAAUUAAUAUAAGAGAACAAAGCUUUAGCCACUGCCACCUGCAUGAAAUUGGCUCCUGGGAAUACCGUGGUGGUUAGUUAGAUCGAUUGCAGGGGCCUCAGGUUUCACAUUCUGGUCGUCCUCCUCCGCCAGUACCCGGCCGCUACUCCUAUGAUGCACGUCAUAGGAAUAGGUUUCGGUAUUUAAAGCCCUUCUGUUUGCAGCCAAGCAAGAGCUCAGCAGUACCGCAAGCACCACAGCAAGCCCUAAAAGCCUCAUUCUUCCACUCAUUUGAUCUCUUCUCCGAUCCCUGUUAUAUAAAGUUCGGACAAAAUUCAAGUUUAAUAAUGCAUCUGAGUCUCAUUUAUAUAUACGAUAAAAUUUAUAACAAUUUUUUUUCUUUUCAAAAAAGAAAGAAACAAUAACAAGAAGAUUAUAGAUGGUCAGAUAAUAACAAUAUCUACGCUUAGUUGGAGAUGCAUUUAGGAUAUUUACUUACCUAGCCAAAGAUUGAGAGCUAAGAGUUUGGUGAUGAUUUGUGCGGAGGAAUGAGAAGUUUGAACUCUUUAUAUAGAGGCAUAUGCUAGGGUUAAUCGACGGAUAUAAUAUAAAUUAACUUGGUGGAAAACAUUUUGGGUUUUCCCGGUGCAUGCUCUCUCAUCCGUUGAUUCUUGCUACGUAUGUAUUUGCUCUAACA